AUGUGUUCAUGACCUCUGAAGGCCCAAAUUCAUGAGGCAGCAAACCCAGCAGAUCCCCAGCCCGCCUGCCUCAGGACCUCUGCUGAAGGCAGGGAUGAAGAGGGUCUCCAGGGAGGCAGCGGGGGCCUUGUUGGUGGCUGGCUCAGGAGCCGGCUUACAGGAGGGCAGCUCCGCAGUGGGGAGGAGCACCAUCCGGAGGAGACCAGGCCUCUGCAUGCCCCCCACUCUGCUUACCAUCCCUGCUCACACCCCCUUGGCCAAGGCUUUGUGCAGCGGAUUUAAUUUUCCAAAUGAAGAGGACAGAGAUAGAUGCAUUUUCCCCAGGCUGUCUCGGAAAGGUCGCUAAGUGUAUGCUGUUGUCACAAUUGCUGAGAUCUCCCCCCACUUUUGGUUUUUGCAGCAGCAAAAACUCUCUCUCCACUGCAACUUCUUUUCUCUCUCUCAGGCAACCAGCUCCCUGGUCCCUUGUGCUGACUCUAGUACAGUGGCCAAGAGCCGAUACGAAGCCAGGGGUGACCGCAGGACGGUGGGCUCAGUGGGCUUCUCCACCUACCCCAGUCGCCAAGGCCCUGACACACUCCCUCCUGCACCGUCAGCACAUCCAUGUGCACAGCUGGAAGGGUGCAUGGCCCGCCCACCUUCGUCCAGACGGGUGGAAAUCUGAUGAUGCCAGCUCCUCCCUGCCGUGCCCCUGCUGCAAGCAGGCAUUGUGAACUGGCUGGUGUUUGCAGUCCCACGUGGUGUGGCCUCCAGCCCAACCCAUGGUGGAGACUGGAGACAGAGCAAUGAGUCCUGGUGGGGGGCACGUGGACAUGCCCCACAGGGGCCUCACCCAGGCUUAUAGGCAAGGUCCUGGGCACUGCAUGACGCAGCACUCACUGCUAAAGCAAGCCCGCCUGGCUCUGUGCCAGGGCCCCCUUCUGAUUCACACAUCCCAUUUUUACGCAGACCCUUCCUUCUUAAUAAAAGCUGACAGUUAUGUUGUUGGCACCCAAGAACCCACACCGUGAAGACAGGGAGUGAGGGGCCUUUGUGCCCAAGCCCAGCACAGCUGUGUUCUGGGGCGCGUGAGAGGCAUGUUCGUGUCCGUGCGCUGGUGGUCUCCUGACACAGUUCCGAGGACGGGGAAAUUGCUGGGUGGUGGGGCUCUGAGGCUCGUAUGUGGAACUGCUGCAGAGUUCGCUGGCAGACGGAUCUGGAUAUAUGUUAUGUAUAAUUGUUAUGUGUAAUUUAAGAUAUAUCUGUUUGCCAUCGUCAUAAGAUUAUAUGUAAGACUCUUAAGGGAGAGGGAGAUGUACAUUCUGCCAGGCUCCUGUGGACUUUGUCUGAGUCAUUAAAUUGACUGUUGUUGAUCCAGUGGUGCGAGAAGCUACACUCCAUGUGUCAUCACGCUUAUGACUCCUAAUGGAUUUUUAAGGCAAAAAAUGCCAGCCGACUCCAUCUUCCCCCCUCGAUUCCUCGAGUCCAGCCUUUCUGUGCCAGUGCAUCCCUGAGCCACAAUGCUCUCGCCAUUGGGACCUGGCUGGGCCUGGAGUCUCGGGGCACAGUUACCAUGGAGCCCUCCUGGGUCAUCCUACAAAUGUGCCGAGUGCCAGCUGAAAGCCCCACAGGAGAUGGAGUGCCUUGGCUAAGCUUAGAGAGAUUUUCUCAGGGUAUUCGUUAGUGUGUCCAGCAGGGUCAGGAAGCAGGGAUGGAAAGAUGCAUUCAGACUGUUAAUUUAUUAACAAGGCAAAUGGUUUUGUGUUUCUUGACGACAAACUAUUAAGUUUGGGACUUAUUUUCCCAUUUGAGAAGUUAUAAUAUAUAUUUAAGAUAAGUUUCCUGCUUAAGUUGUGCCUUUCAGCUUCAACGAGUUUAAGGAGCACUAAGGGUAAUGAUACCAAUGAGGGUUGGUUUAUUAUCAAACCUGAAUAGCUGUGGUUUCUCUGGUAAAUGUUUUCUUCUACUGAACAUGGAGCCAUUAUUAAGAGUUGUAUGUUUUUUAUUAUGUACAUUUGUAUAUUUUUUUGCUUGUUUGAUGUUCUAUUUUUCUAAUAGUUUUCUUAGAGUUUCUUACAGUUGUGAUACUAGAUUUAGAUUCCGAUGCUAACUGCGAAUCAGGUUGGUCUCUGCUGGGUCUCUCCUGCUUUUAUUUUCCUUUGAGGACAAGUGUAGUUGUCGUCCACCACCUUUCAAAAAAUGUGAAACUGCCCUGCCUCCCCUUUUUGCUAACAACCCUGUGUACACUGACAACUUCUUUUAUGUUGUAAAAUCAAACUAUUUUGUGGUACAUUAUCUCGCACUUCCGCAAAUUCUAAUAAAUUCUGUGGCUUCCA